rnacentral:rRNA from 1 species
GACGAACCGUGCGAACGUUAUUCGGAAUCACUGGGCUUAAAGCGCGUGUAGGCGGAUGGGAACGUCGGUUGUUGAAAUCCCCCGGCUUAACCGGGGAAGUGGCGCCGAUACGACCCGUCUCGAGGAACGUAGGGGGAGCUGGAACUUCCGGUGGAGCGGUGAAAUGCGUUGAGAUCGGAAGGAACGCCCGUGGCGAAAGCGAGCUCCUGGACGUUUUCUGACGCUGAGACGCGAAAGCCAGGGGAGCGAACGG